AUUGAACGCUAACGGCGUGCUUAACACAUGCAAGUCGAGCGGCAGCACAGUAGUAGCAAUACUAUGGGUGGCGAGCGGCGGACGGGUGAGUAAUGCAUAGGAAUCUGCCUUGUAGUGGGGGAUAACCCGGGGAAACUCGGGCUAAUACCGCAAAAUCUCUACGGAGCAAAGUGGGGGACCGUAAGGCCUCACGCUAAAAGAUGAGCCUAUGUUGGAUUAGCUAGUUGGUAGGGUAAAGGCCUACCAAGGCAACGAUCCAUAGCUGGUCUGAGGGGAUGAUCAGCCACACUGGGACUGAGACACGGCCCAGACUCCUACGGGAGGCAGCAGUGGGGAAUAUUGGACAAUGGGCGAAAGCCUGAUCCAGCAACGCCGUGUGUGUGAAGAAGGCCUUCGGGUUGUAAAGCACUUUUAGUUGGGAAGAAAAGCUCAAGGUUAAUACGGUUGAGUGAUGACGUUACCAACAGAAAAAGCACUGGCUAACUCUGUGCCAGCCGCCGCAGUAA
rnacentral:rRNA from 1 species